UUUUAAAUGUUCCACAAGAUGUCAAAUGUCGAAAUAAAUGGUUUCAAGUAGUGCACAGUGAUAAUCCCCAAACAAAAUCGAAUUAUUUUUAUUGUGAAGAUCAUUUCGAUCUGAAAGAUGACAUGACAUUACAUUUUUUAUACAACGAUGGGAGGUAAAGCAAAGAUUAAAAUUGAUGUGGUACCACACAAGUUUGACUGUCAACCUAAUCGUAAAAGACAAUUUUUUAUCAAUAUAAGUUUAAUAUGAAUAUUUUUAUAUAAAGAAACUACAUCUAAAGAGUGACUUCUAGUAGGGACUGUCCUCUCAACCAAUCAGGAUAAAGACAAAUAGUGGCUUCAACUUUCAUUUGCUUCAAAUUGAGCCAAUCCAUAAACCACUUCAAUGUACA